rnacentral:lncRNA from 1 species
CCCACCGUCAACGUGGCACCAGAUCAAUUUGUUACAGGCCAGUCAAUGAACUGACACUGACACUAUUAUCACCCCAAGUCCAUAGUUAACCUUAGGGUUCACUCUUUGUGUUGCAUGUUUUAUGAAUUUGGACAAAUGAAUGAUGACAUGAUUCACCACUGCGGCAUCACACAGAGUAUUUUCACCACCUUCAAAAGCGUAUUUUUAGGAUGAAUAUGUCCUACCUAUUAUUCCAUUUAUUUUUCGAGCAUCUAGAAAAGACAGCCUUUCUCAGUAUUUGGCAUGAGCAGGGGCGUGGGGGUCGGGGAGCAUUUGGUGUGUGCUCGUCAUGACCAGGUAUCCCUAAGACCCCAGGGUGCCAGAGAGUCACCUGGGAGGCCUUUGAAAUAUAGGUGCCCGGCACUCAGCGGUUCUGAUUCUUUGGGUCCAGGGAAUCCCGGGAAUCAUCAUUUUGCCCGAGUCCCCAGGUGGUUCUGAUACAGAUCCACUGUCCUAUAUACCCUCAGGGGACAUGUCACCCAGUGGGGGGGCACACAGUGGCCAGGGAGGUGGACCCCAGUCAGGAAGUCUGACCCAGGCCAGCACACCCAGGCUGCAGGGCGCAAGGGCCAGGCACAGCAGCCGGGGUGGACAGACACCAUGCGGGCCCCCCAGAAACCCCAGGGAACACUAGGGUAUGCCCGUCUGGUGGCCACCACCUCAGGCUGCAGUCACCAGCUCUCACACAGAGAAGGUCAUUUAGCCUCACCUUAGACAGGUUCAGCCAGUGUCAGGGGUGCACGUGUGGGAGGGGAAGCAGCUUUCUCAGGCCAGUCCAGGUGGGGGCCUGCCUCAGUGUCCUUAUCUGUAGAGGAGUGGCCUGUGGGAUGGGCCAUAAACACUGCAUGUGGCCCAGUAUUUCUUUGAGCUGUGGUUCUGGGCCAGUGGUUUGCAGAGGCUGGGCUGGAGCCUGGCUGGCUGGAAGCACUGGAUAUACCUGGGCAGAUGGGGGAGGAGAGGUCUGCAUUCAGAACAAGUCCCCAGCAGCCCGGGGCUCCAGGAGGGUGCGGGAUGGUUGGAACCACCUGUUCAGCAAAGUUUAUAGGGAACCUGAGGCCCAGUGGCAGGCGGGGAGCCCCCCUGGGCUUGAGCCCCCAGCCUGCUCUUCCCACCCCAUCCUCUGCGGUGUUGCAGGUCCCUGUGGAUGGUCCUGAAGCUGAGACGGAGGCUGAGGAGCCCCCAGGUAGCCUCCCUAAGCUGGUGGCCCCGGGGCAAGCAGAGGGCCGUGGAGGCCCAGAUCCGGUCGGAGGUGCUGACCCUGCUGAGCAACUUGGCUGACCUAGCCAACGCAGUGCACUGGCUACCCCCGGGCAUCCUGUGGUCUGGCUGCUUGCCCCCGUGGGUGGUGGGCCUCCUGGGUACCAUCUCCUCCCUCCUCAGCGUGUACCAGGCAGUCCAGGCCGGUGGCCAGGCCAACGCUGACCCCUGAUGGGACCCAGGUGCCCAUGGACUCGGCUGGAAGCCCAAUGAGGGUCCCUUCCCAAGGGCAACGAUGGCCCGGGUGGGAGCUGGGUCUUUCAUGGAGCAAAUCAAGGCCAGGUGCACCUGUGGCCCCCCAGGACCAGCGUCCUCUGGGUAGGCUUCUCUCCGGGGCAGAGCGGAAAGAUCCCACGAGUCUGUGCAGAGAAUAAGGGCACCGCAGGCUGGAGUACUGAAUCCAGUAAAGGCGAGCGGGGGAGCAGGGACAGGUGGCCUGCACCAGGGGGUGCGUGAGGAAGGUCUGAAUGAGAGUCAAUUAAAUGCUGUGGGGCUGC